CCAAACAAGGGCCUUUUUGAGGGCCUAAACAUGCUCAAAAACUCAUGAAAUUUUGCACACAUGCCAGGUCUGGUGAAAAAUUUUGUAUUUUAAUGGUUUUACUUAUGAGCACUGGGAAAUGGCUCUAGAGCGCCACCUAUGCCUUGUUAAAUGCAGCCCUACGACCACAUGGUUUGAGCUACAUGUAUGAAAUUUGGCACACAUGUGUAUCAUUCCAAGACGAACAAAAAAGUCUGUGGGCCCAUUGACGCAAACCCAACAGGAAGUCCGCCAUUUGGAAGAGAAGGUGACAUUUUGGCUCUAAUUUUGCCAUUUCCAUGCCUCGAACUUUAACGAACUCCUCCUUGGGAUUUGGUCCUAUAAACUUCAAAUUUGGACAGUGUCAACUACACCCUUGUGCCAUGUUAAAUUGCGGAGCUUUUGAGUUUUCACAAUACUAUGAGGCCGUGGCGCCAUGGCGAAUUUCGAUGACUCGCCAUGAAAAUCUUAUUGCCUCUCAUUUUGUCAUACAUUUUCUGACCUUGACCAAAGAGCACACAUAUGAUAAGGCUCCACCCCUGAACAUAUUUCAACUGCCAUAUUUGACACCAGGGACAGCGCCACCUAGUGGGAACAGGAAAUGUCAUGUUUUACACUUUGGGGUACAGUAUAGUGAUGGGUGACAUCUGCAGCCUCAAAUUUCUCCAGGAAAGCCUUAAGGAGUUGGUCUUGGGUUACAGUGAAAACUGUGAGUUUUCGCGAAAGGGUGUGACCCCAGCAGCAUGGCGAACUUUGAUGUCACGCCAUGAAGAAACAAAUUAGUAUAACUCAAUGAAAUCCAGUCUGUUCAGUACCAGACUUUACAGGCAUGAUGUCAGACCCGCCCUGAACAGAUUGAUGUGCCCAUUGUCAGAAAUACGGACAGCGCCACCUAGUGGCAACAGGAAAUGUCAUGGCUUUAACUUUGUUGUACUGAUUUUCACAGGUUGAUCGUGGCCACCUCAAAAGCGGUGAAUAUCACCAUCAGUCCCUCGUGAUGCUUCAGUGCAAAAAUUGUGACUUUAAACUGAACGGCGCACCCUGGUGGCAACGCGGUUCAUCAUGAAAGAUGAAGUGGCUUUUGAGGGGCUUGGAAAGUUUAUAGAGGCUUGAAAUUUGGCACACACCUCCAAAUGGAUGAAGGCUUUGUUGUCAUGUAACCAUUUUCCUUGAAUAGCGCAAAAUGGCUCCACAGCGCCCCCUACAAUAUUUCAAAACAUCAGCCCCUGCUCUGUGUUUUAUCUAUGAGUCUGACACUUGGUAAGCUUGUGUAAGAUAUCAAGAUGUACAAAAAAGUCUCUUGGAGCAAUAUCCCAAAUCCAACAGGAAGUCAGCCAUUUUAAAAUUAAUGUGUAAUUUUGAUGACAUUUUCCCCCCUUUUCAGGCCUCAUACUUUGACGAACUCCUCCAAGGGAUUUCAUCAUAUUGAAGCAUUCUUCAGUGUGUAGAAUCUAAAGACCUUUGUGAUGUUAAAUUGCGAAGCUUUUUCCGUUCAGGGAAACGGGGUGGUCAUGGCGGCACGUAGAGUUUCAAUCACUCGCAAAAAGCAGUAAUCUGCUGUCACUAAAAAACACAAUGUCCAAUCUCUCCCAAAGGUCGCAGGUGUGAUGAGACUCGAGCUUGGAAAUGUUUGUUAUGCUAUUUGUCAAUAAUGGUUAGAGCGCCACCUAGUGGCAUGACUAUAAUCCUGGUUGAAUAAGAUGAAAUGUUAGCUGGUGAUUAAAAGCAUGAAAUCCAUCAAUGUGACAUCACAUCGGACGUGCCGGUUUGAGGUGUUGGCAGUGGCUCGACGUGCCGGGGGUGCGAGGGCCCUCAUAACGCUGCUUGCAGCUUUAAUUUAUGAGUUGAGUUUGACUCAACAGAUCAGAGCUGAAGAUUUUAGUUUCUUGGAAAUGCCAUAAUGUAUGGGCAAUUGUGAAAAGUAAGGAUUUUCUGUGUUACUCUGGCAUUAUUUUUUAUCCUUGUGUUUUAUCCCAUAAAGUAGACAUGCUCUAAUUACCUUCACUGUUAGACAUUCAUCAUCCAUGGACUUUAAUUUUGAAUAUUUUCUUUCAUGUUAAUACAUUAAAAUAUAACAUUGUGAUAAUUUGUACAUGUAUAAUCGAAAAAGACACGUUUAUUGCAUGAUCAGACAUAGUCAGAGCGAUAGGUAUAAAGUGUCAGUUUCUCUGUGUGUUUAUGUAUAAUCACCUCAUGUUGUGUCAUUGAAGCGCUGUUCUGAUCCUAGGAUCUAAAACCUAGUCCCCGACCUGCAGACAGGAAACAUUUUAAUGCUUUUGCAAGUAUGAUUAACUGCACUGCUGUUGUUACUUUAAUGUAACUGACCCGAAUGCUUCUUCCACUGCUGUUUGUCUCGCAGAAGUGCUCAUUAUGAUGAGUUGUCUGUUUUCUUCUACCUCUGGUCAUCAUUCAACCACUAAUGGAAGAAUCUGUGUUUAUCCUCCACAUUUGUGUUUUUUAGUCCUUGAGCAAUUUGAUAAACAAUAUAAACAGCAAACGUGUCAGAUUUUGUCUUUUCUUGUCCUCACUAAGUCUUAUUUCAUUAAAACAGUGUUUCCAAC
ensembl:lncRNA